GACGAACGCUGGCGGCGUGCUUAACACAUGCAAGUCGAACGAAAAGAGGGAAAGAGCUUGCUCUUUCCGGAAUUGAGUGGCAAACGGGUGAGUAACACGUAAACAACCUGCCUUCAGGAUGGGGACAACAGACGGAAACGACUGCUAAUACCGAAUAAGUUCCAAGGGCCGCAUGGCCCAUGGAAGAAAAGGUGGCCUCUACCUGUAAGCUAUCGCCUGAAGAGGGGUUUGCGUCUGAUUAGCUGGUUGGAGGGGUAACGGCCCACCAAGGCGACGAUCAGUAGCCGGUCUGAGAGGAAGAACGGCCACACUGGAACUGAGACACGGUCCAGACUCCUACGGGAGGCAGCAGUGGGGAAUCUUCCGCAAUGGGCGAAAGCCUGACGGAGCAACGCCGCGUGAGUGAUGACGGCCUUCGGGUUGUAAAACUCUGUGAUCCGGGACGAAAAGGCAGAGUGCGAAGAACAAACUGCAUUGACGGUACCGGAAAAGCAAGCCACGGCUAACUACGUG
rnacentral:rRNA from 1 species